AUAAUGAUACUUCUUUACCGCCGUAGUCCGAGCGUUAAAAGCGUCGCAGGCAACGGGUAGAGCUGCAUGAGAACCAUGCGGAAGUGAAAUUCUUGUGA
rnacentral:ncRNA from 1 species